UUUGACUGUGGCUAAAAUAGAGAAAACCGUGCGCAGUUCACCAUUUGCUUUCUCUGAUCCCGGUGCCAACAAACGCGCACUACAUACAUACAGACGCAUAACACUGUGAUGGAAGAAAAUGAUAAUUAGUGUUUUUACAGAGGUGGAAUUGAUGAAGAAAAAGACGACAACGCUGUUGCGUUCUUCAUGGGAGGAAGAUGACUAAAUCGUGCGGUAAUGGCGUGAGUGCACCGCAGGUGUGAAAAGAAGGAAGGAAGGAAGUAUACAAUACAAAGGAAUCUGAUAGCAACCCAUCCACCAGAUGGGAUGCCGACUGUGUUCCUUUCAACGGGAUCAACAAGAUUGAAGUUUGAUGGGUCCUUACUUGGAUCAUAGUUACCAAAUCCUUGUCCAACAACAAAGAAGUUAAAUCCAUGC